UGAACCAGCGGAGGGAUCAUUGCUGGAACGCGCCCCAGGCGCACCCAGAAACCCUUUGUGAACUUAUACCUUACUGUUGCCUCGGCGCAUGCUGGCCCCUAUGGGGCCCCCUGGAGACAGGGAGCAGGCACGCCGGCGGCCAAGUUAACUCUUGUUUUUACACUGAAACUCUGAGAAAAACACAAAUGAAUCAAAACUUUCAACAACGGAUCUCUUGGUUCUGGCAUCGAUGAAGAACGCAGCGAAAUGCGAUAAGUAAUGUGAAUUGCAGAAUUCAGUGAAUCAUCGAAUCUUUGAACGCACAUUGCGCCCUCUGGUAUUCCGGAGGGCAUGCCUGUUCGAGCGUCAUUUCAACCCUCAAGCAUUGCUUGGUGUUGGGGCACUGCCUGUAAAAGGGCAGGCCCUGAAAUCUAGUGGCGAGCUCGCCAGGACCCCGAGCGCAGUAGUUAAACCCUCGCUUUGGAAGGCCCUGGCGGUGCCCUGCCGUUAAACCCCCAACUUUUGA
rnacentral:sRNA from 1 species